GAAUUGCGAAAAGUAAUGUGAAUUGCAGAAUUCCGUGAAUCAUUGAAUCUUUGAACGCAUAUUGCGCUCUCUGGACCUCUGGAGAGCAUGCCUGUUUGAGUAUUAGUACCACACCUCGUCCCCGUAGUGGGGGCGGAUUUGAGCAGUCGCGUCCGAAAGGGCGUGCCGCUUUAAACCCAGUGAAGUCUGCUUGGACCAAUCUCCCGGCACGCGUAGUAGUUUUCCCUCGGGAGAUUCCCAACGCGGCGCCGGGCAGGCAAAGGUCUGCCGGCCUCAAACGCAAACGCCCAUCGGCGUGGGACGCAGUCGCGUCCCGCCCGGAAUCAUAAUCUCAAAUCAGGCAGGACUACCCGCUGAAUUUAA
rnacentral:misc_RNA from 1 species